UGGGGAAUAUUGGACAAUGGGCGAAAGCCUGAUCCAGCCAUGCCGCGUGUGUGAAGAAGGUCUUCGGAUUGUAAAGCACUUUAAGUUGGGAGGAAGGGCAGUAACCUAAUACGUUUCUGUCUUGACGUUACCGACAGAAUAAGCACCGGCUAACUCUGUGCCAGCAGCCGCGGUAAUACAGAGGGUGCAAGCGUUAAUCGGAAUUACUGGGCGUAAAGCGCGCGUAGGUGGUUUGUUAAGUUGGAUGUGAAAUCCCCGGGCUCAACCUGGGAACUGCAUCCAAAACUGGCAAGCUAGAGUAUGGUAGAGGGUGGUGGAAUUUCCUGUGUAGCGGUGAAAUGCGUAGAUAUAGGAAGGAACACCAGUGGCGAAGGCGACCACCUGGACUGAUACUGACACUGAGGUGCGAAAGCGUGGGGAGCAAACAGGAUUAGAUACCCCAGUAGUUCCUGAGCGGGCUGGCAAGGCGCAU
rnacentral:rRNA from 1 species